GCCGGAGUGGUGAAAUUGGCAGACGCGCUGGACUCAAAAUCCAGUGGGGCUUAUACCCCGUGUCGGUUCGAGUCCGACCUCCGGCACCA
rnacentral:tRNA from 1 species